GUGGCCUUAGCUCAGUUGGUAGAGCACCUGACUGUUGUUAAUCAGGUUGUCGCUGGUUCAAGUCCAGCAGGCUACG
rnacentral:tRNA from 1 species